rnacentral:rRNA from 1 species
GCUGCAUGGUUGUCGUCAGCUCGUGCCGUGAGGUGUCCGGGUUAAGUCCCAUAACGAGCGCAACCCCUACCGCCAGUUGCCAACGGGUAAAGCCGGGGACUCAGGCGGGACUGCCGGCGUAAGCCGAGAGGAAGGCGGGGAUGACGUCAAAUCAGCACGGCCCUUACGUCCAGGGCUACACACGUGUUACAAUGGCCGGUACAGAGGGAGGCGACCCCGCGAGGGGGGAGCGGAUCGCAGAAAAUCGCCCUCAGUUCGGAUUGGAGUCUGAAACCCGACUCCAUGAAGGUGGAAUCGCUAGUAAUCGCGCAUCAGCAUGGCGCGGUGAAUACGUUCCCGGGCCUU